rnacentral:lncRNA from 1 species
AUUAACUAAUUAAUUAAUCUUGACCAUUCUUCAAUUAAACCAUUUAAUUGCUUAUCCAUUUCAUUUAAUUUCCUCACAUACAUCCUUGCUCGGUGUACGAUCCAUUAGGUUCCAAUUAGCGAGGUAGUGGACGAUUGUUACUCUUAACGAUCGAUUGUGAAAUUGAAACCACAUUUCAAUUCUCCCUUAAUGAUUAGUGUUUGCUAAUCAUUUAGGGCUUCCACAAACCAUGAGUGACACCUAGCAGUAUGUCAUGGUUACCCAAGCUAAGUACAAUUGGUUGGAGAACCUAUCCAGUUGCAACUACAAUGCAAUACGGUCCUUCUCUAAUACAAUACUCUUAAUCACAUUGUUUGAGUGAUAGUUUGUUUCAU